GACGAACGCUGGCGGCGUGCUUAACGCAUGCAAGUCGAACGGAAAGGCCCUGCUUUUGUGGGGUGCUCGAGUGGCGAACGGGUGAGUAACACGUGAGUAACCUGCCCUUGACUUUGGGAUAACUUCAGGAAACUGGGGCUAAUACCGGAUAGGAGCUCCUGCUGCAUGGUGGGGGUUGGAAAGUUUCGGCGGUUGGGGAUGGACUCGCGGCUUAUCAGCUUGUUGGUGGGGUAGUGGCUUACCAAGGCUUUGACGGGUAGCCGGCCUGAGAGGGUGACCGGCCACAUUGGGACUGAGAUACGGCCCAGACUCCUACGGGAGGCAGCAGUGGGGAAUAUUGCACAAUGGGCGGAAGCCUGAUGCAGCAACGCCGCGUGCGGGAUGACGGCCUUCGGGUUGUAAACCGCUUUCGCCUGUGACGAAGCGUGAGUGACGGUAAUGGGUAAAGAAGCACCGGCUAACUACGUGCCAGCAGCCGCGGUGAUACGUAGGGUGCGAGCGUUGUCCGGAUUUAUUGGGCGUAAAGGGCUCGUAGGUGGUUGAUCGCGUCGGAAGUGUAAUCUUGGGGCUUAACCCUGAGCGUGCCUUCGAUACGGGUUGACUUGAGGAAGGUAGGGGAGAAUGGAAUUCCUGGUGGAGCGGUGGAAUGCGCAGAUAUCAGGAGGAACACCAGUGGCGAAGGCGGUUCUCUGGGCCUUUCCUGACGCUGAGGAGCGAAAGCGUGGGGAGCGAACAGGCUUAGAUACCCUGGUAGUCCACGCUGUAAACGGUGGGUACUAGGUGUGGGGUCCAUUCCACGGGUUCCGUGCCGUAGCUAACGCUUUAAGUACCCCGCCUGGGGAGUACGGCCGCAAGGCUAAAACUCAAAGGAAUUGACGGGGCCCCGCACAAGCGGCGGAGCAUGCGGAUUAAUUCGAUGCAACGCGUAGAACCUUACCUGGGUUUGACAUGGAUCGGGAGUGCUCAGAGAUGGGUGUGCCUCUUUUGGGGUCGGUUCACAGGUGGUGCAUGGCUGUCGUCAGCUCGUGUCGUGAGAUGUUGGGUUAAGUCCCGCAACGAGCGCAACCCUUGUUCACUGUUGCCAGCACGUUAUGGUGGGGACUCAGUGGAGACCGCCGGGGUCAACUCGGAGGAAGGUGGGGAUGACGUCAAGUCAUCAUGCCCCUUAUGUCCAGGGCUUCACGCAUGCUACAAUGGCUGGUACAGAGAGUGGCGAGCCUGUGAGGGUGAGCGAAUCUCGGAAAGCCGGUCUCAGUUCGGAUUGGGGUCUGCAACUCGACCUCAUGAAGUCGGAGUCGCUAGUAAUCGCAGAUCAGCAACGCUGCGGUGAAUACGUUCCCGGGGCU
rnacentral:rRNA from 1 species